GCUACCUAUAAUACAAAUAUAUACUAACAACUAUGAAUUAGCACGACAUAACCAAAUAAAUAUCAAAUGAGGCCUUUGUGUAUCGAUAAGAGCUACAAAUAACUACAAAUAUGAGCUAACAACUAUAAACAACAUGUUACACAUGAAAUAACCAAAUAAAUAACAGAUGAAACCUCUACAUAUCGAUUAGGACCACAAAUCACUCACCAAUGGCGUCAUUUGACUAAAUCCCGCUAACGGCGGCUACCGUCAAAAAAUCAAUGGAUCUCGCUGCUGGCGCCUUGUUUCCCACCGCCUGCUCUAGAUCGAUCGCGCGCCCUUGGGAUCUACGGGUUUCGACUGCUUCUUGCCGAGAACCGGCGUCAAACGGGCAGAUCUCGCUGACUUACUCCCGAGAAAGGGCGUCACUUGCGCGUACAUGCGAGCUGAGCAGAGUGAGAGUGAGAUGAGAUUGGAGUGAGUGAAUGGCCGGAUUCGUGAACGUGUAUAUCCAUUCAAUAACCGUGUGAUUGGUUCCCUUCCCUAUCGAUCCUGGCUCACAUUAGUCAACCAGGAUAUAGGUGGUCUAGUUUAAUCUAUGUAACAGUUCAAUGUUUGGUUACUUGUUUAAUUCAGCCGUGCUACUAUUAGACAUUGUUUGGUUGUUUGUAUUAAAACAUGUACCAAAGAAGAAUUCACAAAUAAAUCU
rnacentral:lncRNA from 7 species